AAAAGCCGAGAGAGCGGAGGCGGGUUAUUGGUUAGCGAGGAAGUAAAGCGAAGACGCGCGCGGAUUUGCCGUUACCACCACCUUCCGCCUGCGUCCGCAGCGUCGGAUUCCAAAUCAUCCCCUCUCCUCCUCGUCCUCCUCUUCCUCCCACCAAUCCUGCCCCCGAAUCCUCCCCUCCCAUCUCAAAAUCUCGCCGCGUCGGCGGCCCCACGCGCACCACCACCACCACCUCCUCCUCCUGCCCAUUCGAUCCGGGAAUUCCCCGGGGGACCCUUUCGGAUUUGCGGCGAAUUCGAGGGGGUGUUUUGGAAAAUUCUCGGGCGGGAUCGAAUGAAUUGAGUCGGGGUGGAUCGAGCUUGGGCGACGCGGAGUUGAUGCCACCCGGCGAUGGAUCGCCGCAGCUUCAGGAGUGUCUCUUUUAACGUCGGUGGCAAGAAUCUGGCCUCUCCCUCGCCGGCAGCGGGUUCCCGAGCACCCGCGGCCGCGCCAGCCGGCUCGAGGGGGGACGCUGUGGUCUCCGUCGAGCGCAGGGCGCUGCUGUCGCCGCAUCCGGCGGGCGGCACCGCUCGGAAGGGCCUGAGGGGACCGAAACGGCGCGUGCAGUGGAAGGAUAGGCAUGGGAAGAAGCUCAUCGAGGUCAGGGAAUUCCAGCCUAGUGAUUCGGAUGAUUCUGAUGAUGAAUACUUGGAUACUUGCAUAUGUUCAAUUAUGUAAAUACCAUGAAGCUUAAUCUCCGGCACAUCUUGCACCAUGUGGAGUAUGUUGCUCUAUGCAUGUGUAGCAAGAUCUGUAGUGUGUCAAAUUUUGCUGGCUUCUGCAUGCACCUAACAGCCAUGUAUACCGACUCACUCCAGCAGACUCAUGCCAUCUCUGUUCAGGAGGUACUGCAAAAUGUAGCUAACCUUGCAAUGGAGAAAAAGCUGGUGAUAUGCAAAUGGCCUUAACGUGCAGUUUUGGUCAAGAGUCCAAAGAAAACUAUACCACUGGGUACAGGCGGACAUCAUGUAGAGAGGAAAAGGAAACAGAUCCGAAAGGAGGCCCUCUUUGGUUUAACAUUUUGACCCAUUUUGCGAGUAUAGUCAACAAUGUGCUGGUAGAAUUAUACAGUAGCAUUUAUUAUUUCACUGCCAGAACUCAAGACCGAUUUUGUCAAUAGUAAUUGAUGUGGCAAUAUGACGAGGCACCACCAGCU